AGAGUUUGAUCAUGGCUCAGAGCGAACGCUGGCGGCAGGCUUAACACAUGCAAGUCGAGCGGGCGUAGCAAUACGUCAGCGGCAGACGGGUGAGUAACGCGUGGGAACGUACCUUUUGGUUCGGAACAACACAGGGAAACUUGUGCUAAUACCGGAUAAGCCCUUACGGGGAAAGAUUUAUCGCCGAAAGAUCGGCCCGCGUCUGAUUAGCUAGUUGGUGUGGUAACGGCGCACCAAGGCGACGAUCAGUAGCUGGUCUGAGAGGAUGAUCAGCCACAUUGGGACUGAGACACGGCCCAAACUCCUACGGGAGGCAGCAGUGGGGAAUAUUGGACAAUGGGCGCAAGCCUGAUCCAGCCAUGCCGCGUGAGUGAUGAAGGCCCUAGGGUUGUAAAGCUCUUUUGUGCGGGAAGAUAAUGACGGUACCGCAAGAAUAAGCCCCGGCUAACUUCGUGCCAGCAGCCGCGGUAAUACGAAGGGGGCUAGCGUUGCUCGGAAUCACUGGGCGUAAAGGGUGCGUAGGCGGGUCUUUAAGUCAGGGGUGAAAUCCUGGAGCUCAACUCCAGAACUGCCUUUGAUACUGAGGAUCUUGAGUUCGGGAGAGGUGAGUGGAACUGCGAGUGUAGAGGUGAAAUUCGUAGAUAUUCGCAAGAACACCAGUGGCGAAGGCGGCUCACUGGCCCGAUACUGACGCUGAGGCACGAAAGCGUGGGGAGCAAACAGGAUUAGAUACCCUGGUAGUCCACGCCGUAAACGAGGAAUGCCAGCCGUUAGUGGGUUUACUCACUAGUGGCGCAGCUAACGCUUUAAGCAUUCCGCCUGGGGAGUACGGUCGCAAGAUUAAAACUCAAAGGAAUUGACGG
rnacentral:rRNA from 1 species